rnacentral:rRNA from 1 species
UACGUAGGGUGCGAGCGUUGUCCGGAUUUAUUGGGCGUAAAGAGCUCGUAGGCGGUUUGUCGCGUCGGCCGUGAAAUCUCCACGCUUAACGUGGAGCGUGCGGUCGAUACGGGCAGACUUGAGUUCGGUAGGGGGAGACUGGAAUUCCUGGUGUAGCGGUGAAAUGCGCAGAUAUCAGGAGGAACACCGGUGGCGAAGGCGGGUCUCUGGGCCGAUACUGACGUGAGGAGCGAAAAGCGUGGGG